CCGUGCUAGAUGGGGAGGUAGCGGUGCCCUGUAGCCUGCAAUCCGCUAUAGCAGGAUCGAACUCCACGCAUAGGUACCCCCAUGUAGGGUCUGCCUGUGGUAAGUGGUGUUGAUAAUUGGGUCCCGCGCAACGGAAAUUCAUGAACCCCGUCAGGUCCGGAAGGAAGCAGCGGUAAGUGAACCCUUUCGUGUGCCGCGGGUAAGCCUGGUUGGAGCUAACUGCCAUGGUAACGCCUGGAUGGUGGCAUCGAAGCGUGGUGCACGG
rnacentral:SRP_RNA from 1 species